AUUCCCGCCCCAUUUAGUCGUCUUCUUUCCGUCCGACCUAGGUUUCAGACAUCACACCCGACGGUCACCUUUCCCUAACGCCUGCCGGCCGCAUUGAUACCUUCUUUACUCACAUUUUCUACGUAAUAAACCCACUCUUCAUCAUUCACUUUACCUCAUCCCUUUCCCAGAGUAACCGAGAAAAGCUUAUACUAUAAAUAUCUCCACUUCUAUCGAUGAGCAGCACAGAUUCGACGAGAUCCAGAAGAAUAGUCUUUUCACUUACUGAUCACUGCGAUGGCGAAUUCCUUUACCCUCCUUGCAGAUUUGAAAGCUGGGCGAUGCUCCAACACUGCGGAGGUUCGUUUGCUGAGAUUUUGGGAGGCAAGAAAUGUCAGAAACCGUCUCACUGAAGGAUCUGUCUACAGUUUAAGCGGGGUCGAUGUUACGCGCAGAAACCCCAAUUUCAGGUUGUCUGAUGCUCCCUCUCCAUACGGUUCAAUGAUGGAACCUCUUUUGAUAAGCUACCGGAGUCCGCUAGGCCCAUACCUACUGAGCUGUUCUGAUUACGACCAUACAAUCAGUUACUUGAACUGGCAAACACCGGCAAACAGCUCCCUGACAUGAUUGGUGAGCUAAAUGCAAUCCGGAGUACAAUCACCGAUCGUAUACCGGGGGCACAGUGUGUAAUGCUUACAAUGCGUCUAAAAAGUGGUGAUAACGUUUGUGUUAGUAUGUUUGACUCUAUGGCUCUUGCAUUUCAUAGCAAAUUUGAGAGCUACGGGAAAGAACCCAAAAUUGUGCUUGCCACAAGCGUAAAUCCUAAGAUAGUUGGGGAUAAGUGAGUAUCUGUUUUUUUUAUUUGUACUCUGAUGAUUUUUUUUUUUCUUUUGCUAAAAGGUUAAUAUUCAUAUUGACGAAGGAGUUAGAUUUACAAAAUCAUUACAGCACCACCAUGGCAAAAAAGUGAUUACAGUCCGGAUGUCUUUGUCGAUAAGCCGGAAUACCUCAGCUGUGGAGAGGGAGAUUUUGUUGUGAAUGACGUUAUUGCGCUGCUUCCACAGAUGAAAAACAAUAGCUUGGUAAGUGAGUCUACGAAGAAUUACGAGAGGAGAGGAGUGUGGCCCUCCCUCUAUUCCACGACAGUAAUUACGAGGCCGGUUAUUUCUGAAUGCUACUUAUGCCACACAUCUCUAUUUUGACUCUGAGACUGCCGCAGGAAAAGAAGUGUUUGACAGGCA